UUAAGUCAGGCAACGAGCGAGACCCACGCCCACAGUUGCCAGCGUACUCUCCGGAGUGACGGGUACACUGUGGGGACCGCCGCUGCUAAAGCGGAGGAAGGAAUGGGCAACGGUAGGUCAGUAUGCCCCGAAUGUCCCGGGCUACACGCGAGCUACAAUGGUUGGUACAAUGGGUAUCUACCCCGAAAGGGGAUGGAAAUCUCCUAAAGCCAAUCUUAGUUCGGAUUGAGGGCUGCAACUCGCCCUCAUGGAGCUGGAAUCCGUAGUAAUCGCGUUUCAACAGAACGCGGUGAAUACGUCCCUGCUCCUUGCACA
rnacentral:rRNA from 1 species